ensembl:snoRNA Gm22011 predicted gene, 22011
CCUGUCCCUAGAAGCAUUGCGGGCAUGGUUGCUCUGUCACAUGUGCAUGAGGAGGUGGCAGAGAGGAGAGAGAGGCUCUGUGUUCUGACCUAUGAAUAUCUGAACAAUUAGUAUCCUAGAAUU